rnacentral:rRNA from 1 species
CCUACGGGUGGCAGCAGUGGGGAAUAUUGCACAAUGGGGGAAACCCUGAUGCAGCGACGCCGCGUGAGUGAAGAAGUAAUUCGUUAUGUAAAGCUCUAUCAGCAGGGAAGAAAAUGACGGUACCUGAGUAAGAAGCCCCGGCUAACUACGUGCCAGCAGCCGCGGUAAUACGUAGGGGGCAAGCGUUAUCCGGAUUUACUGGGUGUAAAGGGUGUGUAGGUGGGUUGAUAAGUUAGAUGUGUAAUACCUAGGGCUUAACUCGGGUGCUGCAUCUAAAACUGUUAGACUUGAGUACUGGAGAGGAUAGUGGAAUGCCGAGUGUAGCGGUGGAAUGCGUAGAUAUUAGGAGGAACAUCAGUGGCGAAGGCGACUAUCUGGACAUCAACUGACACUGAGGCACGAAAGCGUGGGGAGCAAACAGGAUUAGAUACCCGUGUAGUC